GUGCCUAAUACAUGCAAGUCGAGCGGACAGAAGGGAGCUUGCUCCCGGAUGUUAGCGGCGGACGGGUGAGUAACACGUGGGUAACCUGCCUGUAAGACUGGGAUAACUCCGGGAAACCGGAGCUAAUACCGGAUAGUUCCUUGAACCGCAUGGUUCAAGGAUGAAAGACGGUUUCGGCUGUCACUUACAGAUGGACCCGCGGCGCAUUAGCUAGUUGGUGGGGUAAUGGCUCACCAAGGCGACGAUGCGUAGCCGACCUGAGAGGGUGAUCGGCCACACUGGGACUGAUACACCGCCCAUACUCCUAGGGGAGCCACCANUAGGGAAUCUACCGCCCGGAACAAAAUUCUGACGAAUAAACCCAGGGUGAGUGCUCAAUGUUU
rnacentral:rRNA from 1 species